GACGAACGCUGGCGGCGUGCCUAAUACAUGCAAGUAGAACGCUGAAGAGAGGAGCUUGCUCUUCUUGGAUGAGUUGCGAACGGGUGAGUAACGCGUAGGUAACCUGCCUUGUAGCGGGGGAUAACUAUUGGAAACGAUAGCUAAUACCGCAUAACAAUGGAUGACCCAUGUCAUUUAUUUGAAAGGGGCAAAUGCUCCACUACAAGAUAGACCUGCGUUGUAUUAGCUAGUAGGUGAGGUAACGGCUCACCUAGGCGACGAUACAUAGCCGACCUGAGAGGGUGAUCGGCCACACUGGGACUGAGACACGGCCCAGACUCCUACGGGAGGCAGCAGUAGGGAAUCUUCGGCAAUGGGGGCAACCCUGACCGAGCAACGCCGCGUGAGUGAAGAAGGUUUUCGGAUCGUAAAGCUCUGUUGUAAGUCAAGAACGAGUGUGAGAGUGGAAAGUUCACACUGUGACGGUAGCUUACCAGAAAGGGACGGCUAACUACGUG
rnacentral:rRNA from 1 species